rnacentral:rRNA from 1 species
UACGUAGGGUGCAGGCGUUAAUCGGAAUUACUGGGCGUAAAGCGUGCGCAGGCGGUCUGCUAAGAGAGGUGUGAAAUCCCCGGGCUUAACCUGGGAACUGCGCUUCUAACUGGCAGGCUAGAGUGUGGCAGAGGGGGGUGGAAUUCCACGUGUAGCAGUGAAAUGCGCAGAGAUGUGGAGGAACACCGAUGGCGAAGGCAGCCCCCUGGGCUAACACUGACGCUCAUGCACGAAAGCGUGGGGAGCAAACAGG